rnacentral:misc_RNA from 1 species
UGGUUCUGGCAUCGAUGAAGAACGCAGCGAAAUGCGAUAAGUAAUGUGAAUUGCAGAAUUCAGUGAAUCAUCGAAUCUUUGAACGCACAUUGCGCCCGCCAGUAUUCUGGCGGGCAUGCCUGUCCGAGCGUCAUUUCAACCCUCGAGCCCCUCCGGGGGGUCGGCGUUGGGGAUCGGCCCCUCACCGGGCCGGCCCCGAAAUGCAGUGGCGGUCUCGCCGCAGCCUCUCAUGCGCAGUAGUUUGCACACUCGCACCGGGAGCGCGGCGCGUCCACGUCCGUGAAACAACCCAAACUUCUGAAAUGUUGACCUCGGAUCAGGUAGGAAUACCCGCUGA